UACGUAGGUCCCGAGCGUUGUCCGGAUUUAUUGGGCGUAAAGCGAGUGCAGAUGGUUUAUUAAGUCUGGUGUAAAAGGCAGUGGCUCAACCAUUGUAUGCAUUGGAAACUGGUAGACUUGAGUGCAGGAGAGGAGAGUGGAAUUCCAUGUGUAGCGGUGAAAUGCGUAGAUAUAUGGAGGAACACCGGUGGCGAAAGCGGCUCUCUGGCCUGUAACUGACACUGAGGCUCGAAAGCGUGGGGAGCAAACAGG
rnacentral:rRNA from 1 species